rnacentral:rRNA from 1 species
UGGGGAAUAUUGCACAAUGGGGGAAACCCUGAUGCAGCGACGCCGCGUGAACGAAGAAGGUAUUCGUAUCGUAAAGUUCUGUCCUAUGGGAAGAUAAUGACAGUACCAUAGAAGAAAGCUCCGGCUAAAUACGUGCCAGCAGCCGCGGUAAUACGUAUGGAGCGAGCGUUGUCCGGAAUUAUUGGGCGUAAAGGGUACGCAGUCGGGUUAAUAAGUCGAAUGUUAAAGAUCGGGGCUCAACCCCGCAAAGCAUUGGAAACUGAUAAACUUGAGUAGUGGAGAGGAGAGUGGAAUUCCUAGUGUAGUGGUGAAAUACGUAGAUAUUAGGAGGAAUACCAGUAGCGAAGGCGACUUUCUGGACACAAACUGACGCUGAGGUACGAAAGCGUGGGGAGCAAACAGG